rnacentral:rRNA from 1 species
GAUCAUGGGCUCAGGAUGAACGCUAGCGGCAGGCUUAACACAUGCAAGUCGAGGGGCAGCAUAAUGGAUAGCAAUAUCUAUGGUGGCGACCGGCGCACGGGUGCGUAACGCGUAUGCAACCUACCUUUAACAGGGGGAUAACACUGAGAAAUUGGUACUAAUACCCCAUAAUAUCAUAGAAGGCAUCUUUUAUUGGUUGAAAAUUACCGAUGGUUAGAGAUGGGCAUGCGUUGUA